UACGUAGGGUGCGAGCGUUGUCCGGAAUUAUUGGGCGUAAAGAGCUUGUAGGCGGCCUGUCGCGUCUGCUGUGAAAAUCCGGGGCUCAACCCCGGACUUGCAGUGGGUACGGGCAGACUAGAGUGUGGUAGGGGAGACUGGAAUUCCUGGUGUAGCGGUGAAAUGCGCAGAUAUCAGGAGGAACACCGAUGGCGAAGGCAGGUCUCUGGGCCACUACUGACGCUGAGAAGCGAAAGCAUGGGGAGCGAACAGG
rnacentral:rRNA from 1 species